GGGCAAGAUGGCCGAGCGGUUAAGGCGCUGUGUUUAGGCUGUUAUAUUAUAGCUAAAACCGCAGUUCGAAAGAGCGUGGGUUCAAAUCCCACUCUUGUCAAGCG